rnacentral:rRNA from 1 species
AGUUAAGCUAAUAAGAGCACACGGAGGAUGCCUAGGCGCUAGGAGCCGACGAAGGACGUGGCGAACGACGAAAUGCCUCGGGGAGCCGUAAGCAGGCUUCGAUCCGGGGAUGUCCGAAUGGGGGAACCCACGUGAGGUAAUGCUCACGUACCCAGCAGUGAAUACAUAGCUGCUGAGGAGGCAUACGAGGGGAACUGA